rnacentral:rRNA from 1 species
CCCUUGUACACACCGCCCGUCACGGGCAUGGGAGUUGGUUUUACCCGAAGACGGUGCGCUAACCGCAAGGAGGCAGCCGGCCACGGUAGGAUCAGCGACUGGGCCG